rnacentral:lncRNA from 1 species
AGGUAUGACCAAGGUCAAAGUAGGUAAAGAAGACUCAUCGUCCACUGAGUUUGUAGAAAAACGAAGAGCAGCACUGGAGAGGUAUCUUCAAAGAACAGUAAAGCAUCCAACAUUGCUUCAGGAUCCUGACUUAAGGCAGUUCUUGGAAAGCUCAGAGGUAUUUCCACUUCAAAUUUUCUCAUUCAUGUUUGUUAUAACUAAUACAAGAUUAGAUAUUCAGUAAAUAAUUAGUUCAGUGGACAUAGUAAAACCAUCAUGCUUUGGGAUUUGUGGUGCUGGUUAAUUGAAUUACUUGCAAAUACCUUCUUUUAGUAAUAGAGGAUGGUCAGUUCCUUUUUUGAAGAAUUUAAACUAGACUUAACCAGAGAGAUGGGAAAUAAUUUCACUGUCGCUGCCCUAAUUGUUAUUGUUUGAAGUUU